AUAUUUACCUUAGUUGCCCAACAACUUAGCAGUCCUUUUAGCAGCCAGUGACUUGUUGCCACCUGACUAUGUCCAGCAGCAUUUGUCAGAGUGAUUUGACGCUGACUGGUCAACAGGUAAUCUGUCUAAAGUUCAGAAGGUGUCAGGAUGCCAUCCUGAAGCUCCACAGUGACAGCCUCUCAAGUCUGUGCACUGUCCCCCACAGGUGACCCCAAAGCCAGCUGCCCAUUUAACUGGGCACGGCAUGGACACUGGCCCCAGCUCUCAGCCUUCUGAGGAGGACCAGUCCACCAUGCCUGAAGUCAAAGACCUCUCAGAAGCCUUGCCAGAAACGUCAAUGGAUCCCAUCACAGGAGUCGGGGUGGUGGCUUCUCGGAACCGAGCCCCGACAGGCUAUGACGUAGUUGCACAGACAGCAGAUGGUGUGGAUGCUGACCUCUGGAAAGAUGGCUUAUUUAAAUCCAAGGUUACCAGAUACCUGUGUUUCACAAGAUCAUUUUCCAAAGAAAAUAGUCAUCUGGGGAACGUGUUAGUAGAUAUGAAGCUCAUUGACAUCAAGGACACACUGCCUGUGGGCUUCAUCCCAAUUCAGGAGACAGUGGACACACAGGAAGUGGCUUUUAGGAAGAAGAGGCUGUGCAUUAAAUUUAUUCCACGGGAUUCAACGGAAGCUGCAAUUUGUGACAUUCGGAUCAUGGGCCGGACCAAGCAGGCCCCACCUCAGUACACGUUUAUCGGGGAGCUGAACAGCAUGGGGAUCUGGUAUCGAAUGGGCAGAGUACCAAGAAAUCAUGACUCAUCUCAACCCACAACGCCUUCCCAGUCAUCAGCUGCUUCCACCCCAGCCCCCAACCUUCCCAGGCACAUCUCUCUAACACUUCCUGCCACCUUCCGAGGCAGGAACAGCACCCGGACGGACUACGAGUACCAGCACUCCAAUUUGUAUGCCAUAUCAGGUACGUCGGGCCACCGCUGCACUCCAAUUUGUAUGCCAUAUCAGCAAUGGAUGGUGUGCCUUUUAUGAUUUCAGAGAAGUUUUCUUGUGUUCCAGAAAGUAUGCAGCCUUUUGAUCUCCUGGGAAUCACCAUCAAAUCUCUAGCAGAAAUCGAAAAAGAGUACGAGUACAGCUUCCGCACAGAGCAGAGCGCAGCCGCCAGGCUCCCGCCCAGCCCCACCAGAUGUCAGCAGAUCCCGCAGUCCUGAGGAGCCAGCGGCCACCUGCGGGGAGACCACCGCCCAGACUACUGACGGCAGGGGCUGCUGCCCCCGCCUCCUCCCGCCGCCUCCACCAGCCCUCCCUUCCACACUGCCCCAGCAGGGCUGGCCCAGAGACUGGGCAGCUAAGUGGGCGCUUCCUGUCUUCAGCUGGCCUGACACCCCGGCCUCCCUGGGGACGUUGUUCAUAACCAUGACUAAUCUGUGUGUGCUGUAGUGACCAGCGGCUCCUAACGUGUCUGUGUGAUGACCAGUUGUCCUCCAAAAACCUCACUCACCACGGAGUCACCCUGAGGGCCCCGGGCAGUUGCCCCGGCCGCCCAGUGACGCCCACCGGCUCCCUCCAUUCCCUCCUGUCACCUCCCAGGGCAGACCCCACUAAGCCGUUGAGUCCCUUCCUGGAAGACCCUGGGGGCCUAUAGCUUUGGCUAGGACUCUCCAGGGUCGCUGACCCUCCCUGGCCUGGGGCUGCCAGGACCAAGUUCCUCUCUGCAGGAUCUCACAGCAGCCCUGAGAAGACGUGGAAGGAAGAAGCCAGCUGCCCCGGAGUGAACCCUGCCCUUUGGACGCCCCAUGGACUUCUCACCCAGUCGCCUGGAAGUCGGGGAGCAGCACCCCUGCCCCCGGCGGAGGGGCUGUUGCUUUCUGGGGAGGAGGACGGUUGAUGGCCCUGCUUGGAUCCACCACCAGGACACUGUGCUCGGCCUUGGCGCGCCUCCCCCAAGGGCUCAUCUGCGCAACAACCACAUGCCAACGAUAACUCCAGGUGCCUCAGCCCGUGCCCUGACCCAGGGACCACAGGGACACCCUCUGAGACGUGCUGGCCCCGGGAGGAUACAGGCACACGGGCACCUAGCCCCUCUCGCAGCCAGGCGUGUCUUGACGGUGUCUGCUAACAGGAACAAGUCAUUCUGCAAGGUCCCUCUGACCCAGGUCACCAAAUUUGGGCCAGAACUGGCAUUUCUCCUGAGUACCCACUGGUGCUGGCGUCCUCACAGUGCUGGGCGCCAAGUUCAGCCCCAGGCGCGUUUGCCUAAGCAGUGGUGGCUGCCAUCCCUCAGGGCCCGGGCCCUCACGUGAAGGGCUGCCUCGCUCUGUGCUGUCAGGCAUUGGACUGUGUCCUGAUUCCUCAGAGUAUGGGGACCUGAUAUCUUUGGGUCCCCAAGAGUUGGCUCUUGGAUGUGGGGGCUUGAUGCUGCGGUUGGCGGCUGCAGUAUCUGGGUCCAUGGAAGCCACUGCCUCAGCAGGGACAGCCUCUCCCGCUGCGGGCCCUGGGCAGCCCACAGUAGUGCUAGCUGAGGCCCAGAAGAACAGGAGGAAAGGGAGGUAGCGCCGGACAGUGCAGCUGGCCAAGAGGCGGGCGGGGCCGGAAAUACCUCAUGCCCCUGCACCAGCCCCUCCGUCUCCAGGCCCCAGGCCCCUGUGUGGACCCAUCUUCCUCCUCUGCCACCCCGAUCUUCACUCGGAUACCUCUUGAUUUCUGUGGAUUAGGGAAGCAGCCACUUCUCCCUCCCUGAGACCCGAGGACGCCCGUGGUGGGGGUGGCCUUCUCAGGCCUCCUGGGUAGCACAGCAGCAGGACCUCGUCACAGGACUGAUGCUGAGCGGGGAGGGGGCUGCCAGGCUGGCCGCCGAUGCUCCGUUCACAUAAGCCAGUGUGGUUCUGGGGACCUGAGGAGCCCCGUGGCACCCACGGGGGGCACCUAUGUCCGCCGUGGCUCCUCGGCACCUAUGUAUGGUGGCCCGUGUGACCAAGGCCAACAACAAGGGUGACUUCCGGCAGGCAGGGGCGGCAGGAGGGCAGAGGGCAGAGCUCUGGCCACUUCUGCCCACUUCAUUAGGGUUUGUGAACUUUGUCCUUCGACCUCUUUUCAUGCCCUGGUUGUGAGAUCGCCUCUGACAGAUAAUGCCAGGGGCCCUUCACUCCACUCCCGUGACUGGGAAAAGGCCUGUGGCAGCUCUGCUGGACCCUAGGAGGCUCAGAGGCAGUGGUGUGGGAGCCCUGUCUGCAAGGACGCGGAACAAGCAGUGAGGGCGGCUGCAGGAGGGGAAGGGGCUCCCACAGCCCCCGCUGACACCCCUGCAGGCCUCUCUCGAGCUGGGGUCCCAGCCAGGUGCCCCCACAUGCCCUCCUGCAGUUGCUGGAUGGACAGGGCCUCCAGGCCACCAGGAAGAGGACAAACUCCGUGGACUCGGGCGAGCUGGAGCCAUCUUCUCCAUAGCAUUACGGACUUAGCAUAAGAGUAAAUGACUGUGAACGUUGUAGUAAACGGCAGCUUCAGAUAAGUAAGCAGUGACAGUGUUAAGGACAAGUUGGUGUCUGUGGUAGGUUUUAGGCUGCUCCUAACCCACCAUUUAUUGCCUUCUGAGAGGUGGGUGAGGACAAGCGUGUGCCUGUGUGUGUGUGUGUGUGUGUGUGAGCACGUGUGCGUGUAAGCCCACCUGAGUGGGGCUGGUGCGGGAAAACUGAGGCAUGGAACUCUGGCUCAUACCUAGGAAUUGAGAGCUUUUCUGUCUUUUGGGAGAGUACUUUUCUCCACGAGCCCUCUGGCCGCUGUGGGAGGGAAGGACAAGGCUUUCCUUGGAAAUGGGAAGGGUCUUGGCCUCAUCCCUCAGGUCCCCCCCACAGCACUUCCCACCACUGCUGCUGUCCCUGCCGGCAGCCUCUGUCCCUCCAGAAUGGCUAACCAGAGCACACCGUCCCCACCACCUCCCCUUUCUCUCUGGAAAGUUGAAGAGUCUUUCCAGAGGCCUUGGAAAUGGCACAAAGGUGAUCAGGAGCAGGUGCUUUGCUGCAGGCUCCCUUGCAAAUGUAUAAUUAAGGCCUUUCUUCCCACCCCAAGUCCAAGAACAAAUGCCAGCCAUGUCCUCCGCCACUUGGAGAGAUGAGAACCCAGUGGGGUCGUGUAAAGGAAUUGGAGGUCAGUGGGAGAACGAGGGACUCCCGUGUUCUAAGCAUCUGCUCCCGGCCAGGCUCUCUAAGCACAUUUCUCCUUUCAUUCCCCCUAAAAACAGAGUGACCUGGAAGUAGAUGUUCUUUGCUCCUUGUUAGAGUUGAAGAGGCUGAGGCCUGACCGGCUGCUAAGCGGCAGAGGCGGGGGUCGGCCCCCAGCCCCCGGGCCAGCCAUCUCGUCGCAGGCCUGUGCUGGGGAUGCUCUUUCUGUUUCCAGUCCUGUCACGGACUUCCCAGCCGCCACUGGGCCCUGCCGGUCACCAGGCCACUGUGCAGUGGGUGCUGAGCACAGUCAGGAGUGGCCUACCCGCACUCCUCCACCAAGAUGAGGGCCCUCCAGAGCCUACAGGCGUCUGUGGGGAAUCCCAGCCUGCAGCUUCUCAGAGGACUGGGUGGGCCUGAGGAUGAAGGCAAAGGAGGGCCUUGAGGAAGCAGCCCCCGGGCCUGGCAGCCACGCAGCGGCUGAGCUCAUGAACUCGGUUCGCGGCCUGCCUUGUCCCCAGAGGCCACACCAGGCACUCACCCCUGAGCCCACAGCCCCUGCUUGGGGACCCUCAGGACAGCCCACUCUCCUCCUGCCACUCUGAGCACAUGUCCGGGGGUUGCCACCAGAGACGGCUUUGUUUUCCCAGCCAAGGCCGUGGAGCUGCUGUGUGACUGUGUCAGGCCUGGACAAGGCCCUUAGGGAUGACGUCCCCGCUGCAUAUUUAUUCAAGGUGACUCUUGUACUUGGCAAGGGAAGUCCACUGUGUGAUUGUCUGUAUUCUUAAUAUAAUUUGUUAAAUAAACGUUUGUUUUAACCUCUUU